rnacentral:rRNA from 1 species
AUACGUAGGUGGCAAGCGUUGUCCGGAAUUACUGGGUGUAAAGGGAGCGCAGGCGGGGAGACAAGUCAGCUGUGAAAUGUAUGGGCUUAACCCAUAAAUUGCAGUUGAAGCUGUUCUUCUUGAGUGGAGUAGAGGUAGGCGGAAUUCCGAGUGUAGCGGUGAAAUGCGUAGAUAUUCGGAGGAACACCAGUGGCGAAGGCGGCCUACUGGGCUCUAACUGACGCUGAGGCCCGAAAGUGUGGGGAGC